rnacentral:lncRNA from 2 species
CGUGUUCCCCACUCCAUCCACCGCCGCCGCCUCCAUCCACCACGCGCGCCGCAUCCAUCUCCGCCAAAAUCCACCGCGCCGCCUCCUCUCCAUCGGUCUCCCUCACCGGCGCAUCCUCCUCCGCCGCAUCUCCCCUCCUCCCGUCGCCUCCCCAGCAACCUCCGCCGCCGCCGCCACGACGACGAGCCUCCGAGUCCGACAACCGGCAAUGGCGCCAACCCUGCCUUCCGCACGCCGCACCUCCGCACCGCCUACCGCAAACCGGUGCCACCCGUGGCGGCGGCGGGGGAGGGCGAGGCGCUCCUCGCCGUGGCUCCUCACUCCCCGAUCCUCACCUUCCUCUUCCCCAUCGGCCUUCUCGCCGAUCGCCUCCCUCGUCCAACUACUCCUCCCUUCCAGAGAAGCGCUGCCACUGUGAUCCUUUUCCAGACGCGAGCUCGAAGGCGCUGGUUGCCCCCAAGCUCGAAGAGGUCGAGGAGGUUUUGCGCCGCCGAGCUCAGCGAAGAGGCCAAGGAGAUGAGGCACACCUCCUCCCCCUCCCCCUUUUCACCGGUGGGUGGUCAGGCUUUGGGCUGUCCGAUCUGGCGCCGCUGA